AGAGUUUGAUCAUGGCUCAGGGUGAACGCUAGCGGCAGGCUUAAUACAUGCAAGUCGAGGGGCAGCGGGGACUUCGGUCCGCCGGCGACCGGCAAACGGGUGCGGAACACGUACACAACCUUCCUUCGAGCGGGGGAUAGCCCAGAGAGAUUUGGAUUAAUACCCCAUGGUAAAAUGAAGAGGCAUCUUUUUAUUUUUAAAGAUUUAUCACUUGAAGACGGGUGUGCGUAUGAUUAGGUAGUUGGUGGGGUAAAGGCUCACCAAGCCAACGAUCAUUAACUGGUGUGAGAGCACGACCAGUCACACGGGCACUGAGACACGGGCCCGACUCCUACGGGAGGCAGCAGUAAGGAAUAUUGGUCAAUGGAGGGAACUCUGAACCAGCCAUGCCGCGUGGAGGAUGAAGGUCCUCUGGAUUGUAAACUUCUUUUAUAUGGGGCGAAAAAGGGUCUUUUUAGAUCAACUGACGGUACCAUAUGAAUAAGCACCGACUAACUCCGUGCCAGCAGCCGCGGUAAUACGGAGGGUGCAAGCGUUAUCCGGAUUCACUGGGUUUAAAGGGAGCGUAGGUGGGUUGGUAAGUCAGAGGUGAAAUCUCCGAGCUUAACUCGGAAACUGCCUUUGAUACUAUCAGUCUUGAAUAUUGUUGAGGUUA
rnacentral:rRNA from 1 species